GGGGAUUUAGUUUAGUGGCAUACACCUGCCUCCUAAGCAGUAGGUCCUGAGUUCAAUCCCCA
rnacentral:tRNA from 1 species